rnacentral:rRNA from 1 species
UGGGGAAUAUUGCACAAUGGGCGCAAGCCUGAUGCAGCGACGCCGCGUGGGGGAUGACGGCCUUCGGGUUGUAAACCUCUUUCACCAUCGACGAAGGUCCGGGUUUUCUCGGAUUGACGGUAGGUGGAGAAGAAGCACCGGCCAACUACGUGCCAGCAGCCGCGGUAAUACGUAGGGUGCGAGCGGUGUCCGGAAUUACUGGGCGUAAAGAGCUCGUAGGUGGUUUGUCGCGUUGUUCGUGAAAUCUCACGGCUUAACUGUGAGCGUGCGGGCGAUACGGGCAGACUAGAGUACUGCAGGGGAGACUGGAAUUCCUGGUGUAGCGGUGGAAUGCGCAGAUAUCAGGAGGAACACCGGUGGCGAAGGCGGGUCUCUGGGCAGUAACUGACGCUGAGGAGCGAAAGCGUGGGGAGCGAACA